rnacentral:misc_RNA from 1 species
UCUCCGUUGGUGAACCAGCGGAGGGAUCAUUACCGAGCUUACAACUCCCAAACCCAAUGUGAACCAUACCAAACUGUUGCCUCGGCGGGGUCACGCCCCGGGUGCGUCGCAGCCCCGGAACCAGGCGCCCGCCGGAGGGACCAACCAAACUCUUUCUGUAGUCCCCUCGCGGACGUUAUUUUUACAGCUCUGAGCAAAAAUUCAAAAUGAAUCAAAACUUUCAACAACGGAUCUCUUGGUUCUG